rnacentral:rRNA from 1 species
ACCUGGUUGAUCCUACUAGUAGUCAUAUGCUUGUCUUAAAGAUUAAGUCAUGCAUGUGUAAGAAUGAAGUAAUUCACACUAUGAAAUUGUGAAUGGCUCAUUAAAUGGCAACCACAUCCAAGGUAGCAGGCAUGCAAAUUACCUAAUCCUAGCAUGGGGAGUUAGUGACAAUAAAUAACAAUAUUGGGCUCUACGAGUUUGGUAAUUGGAAUGAGUACUAUCUAAAUCCCUUAACAAGAAUCCAUUAGAGGGCAAGUCUGGUGCCAACAAUUAUGGUAAUUUCAACUCCAAUAGCGUAUAUUUAAGUUGUUGCAAUUUAAAAGUUCGUAGUUGGAACUAGAGUUAGGUCAUUUGAUCCACCUCACUAUAGGCACCGGUUUACUUGUCCCUACUACCGAUGAUGCACUCCUAGCCUUAAGUCGCUGGGUCAUUCCUUCAAUGCUGUUACUUUGAAGAAAUUGGAGUGCCCAAUGCAAGCCUAUACUUGUAUACAUUAGCAUGGGAUAACAUCAUAGGAUUUUGGUCCUAUCAUGUUGGCUUUUAGGAUUGGAGUAAUGAUUAAUAAGACAGUCAGGGACAUUCGUAUUUCAUAGUCAGAGGUGAAAUUAUUGGAUUUAUGAAACAUGAACAACUGCGAAAGCAUUUGCCAAGGAUGUUUUCAUUAAUCAAGAAUGAAAGUUGAGGGCUCAAAGAUGAUCAAAUACCGUCCUAGUCUCAACCAUAAACGAUGCCUACCAGGGAUUGAUGGAUGUUUCUUUUAGGAUUUUGCUAGCACCUUAUGAGAAAUCAAAGUCUUUAGAUUUUGGCACAAGUAUGGUCGUAAGGCUGAAACUUAAAGGAAUUGAUGGAAGGGCACCAAUAGGGGUGGAGCCUGCAACUUAAUUUGUUUCAACAUGGGGAAACUUACUAAUUCUAGACAUAGUAAGAAUUGAAAGACUGAGAGCUCUUUCUUGAUUCUAUGGGUGGUGGUGCAUGGCUGUUCUUAGUUGAUAGAGCGAUUUGUCUGGAUAAUUCCUUAAUGAACAAGAACUCAACCUACUAAUUAGCUAUGCAGAGGUGAUCCUUCGUGGCUAGCUUCUUAAGGGGACUAUGGCCAUUUAGGCCAAGGAAGUUUGAGGCAAUAACAAGUCUAUGAUGCCUUUAGAUGUUCUGGGCCUCACGUGCACUACAUUGAUGUAUUCAAUAAGUUUAUAGCCUUAGUCGAUAGGCCUAGUUAAUCUUUGAAAUUUCAUCAUGAUGGGGAUAGAUCAUUGUAAUUAUUGGUCUUCAACGAGGAAUUCCUAAUAAGUGCAAGUCAUCAGCUCACAUUGACUACAUCCCUACCCUUUGUACAUACUACUAUCACUCAUUCUGAUUGAAUGGUCUAGUGAAGUGUUCAGAUCAUGGCAAUAUGGACAGUUCGCUAUCCACGAUGCUAUGAGAAGUCCAUUGAACCUUAUUAUUUAGAGGAAAGAAAAGUCAUAACAAAGUUUUUAUAGGUGAACUUUUGGAAG